UCUUUAAAUAAGCUAAAUAAGCUGCUGGGCCCAUAACCCUGAAAUGAUCUCUCAUCUUUAAAGAU
rnacentral:tRNA from 1 species